rnacentral:rRNA from 1 species
UACGUAGGGACCAAGCGUUGUUCGGAUUUACUGGGCGUAAAGGGCGCGUAGGCGGCGUGGUAAGUCACUUGUGAAAUCUCUGAGCUUAACUCAGAACGGCCAAGUGAUACUGCUGUGCUAGAGUGCAGAAGGGGCAACUGGAAUUCUCGGUGUAGCGGUGAAAUGCGUAGAUAUCGAGAGGAACACCUGCGGCGAAGGCGGGUUGCUGGGCUGACACUGACGCUGAGGCACGAAAGCGUGGGGAGCAAACAGG